CUCCAGAAGAAUCGCCUCCCCCCUUUUGUUCGCUAGGGCUUGGCAAUCGCAUGCGCCGUCCGCCGUCGCCUCCCUCAUCUGUCGCUCAUCCGUAGCGGGCGAAACCAAGCCAUGUGUCCAGCAAAGAUGAACAUGACAAAGUGAGAGCAUAUUGUUCUUGGCCUGGAGGUAAGUGGGUCAUUUAUGCAUCAAGGACCACUAGGCACAAAUGGUUGCAAGUCUCAACAUUUUUCGAUGAGCAUCACUGUAUUCCAAGAAGAGACAACAAAUUAGUGACAUCUGUUGUUAUUGCUAAGAAGUAUGCAGCCUUGAUAAAAGCAAAUCCAACAUGGAAAUUAGAAAACUUGAAGCAAACUGUUUUAAAGGACAUGUUUGCAUAUGUCACUAUUGCACAAUGCAAAAGGGCCAAGAAAUUAGUGAUGGAGAAAUACAAAGAUAGCACUAAAGAAGAAUAUUCCUUGGUUUUUGACUACCAAUUGGAAUUGCUGAGAACUAACCCAGGUAGCACUGUUGCUAUCAAACUGGCAGAUGAUGUGAAGGAUGAUGAGCAUGUUUUUGAGAGGUUUUACAUGUGCUUUGGUGCUAUUAAAAAAGGAUUUCUUGCUGGCUGCAGAAAGGUUAUAGGACUAGAUGGUUGUUUCUUUAAAGGUGUUUGCUUUGGUCAGCUACUUGUUGCUUUGGUAAGAGAUGCCAACAAUCAAAUGUACCCUGUAGCUUGGGCUGUAGUCAAAAAAGAAACAUACGAGUCCUGGUUCUGGUUUGUUGAGAAGUUAAACAGAGACCUCAAAAUCAAUAAUCAAGGGGAUGGGUGGGUGUUCAUCUCAGACCAGCAGAAAGGAUUAAUAGGGGCUGUAGAGGAUAUUCUUCCAAAAGCAGAACAUAGGAUGUGUGCAAGGCACAUUUACUCCAACUGGAAGAAAAAACAUAAUGACAAAGAUUUGCAAAAGAGAUUCUGGAGAUGUGCGAAGGCUCCUAACAGAUCUCUGUUCAACUAUAACAGAGCACGAUUGGCUCAAUUCACAGUUGAAGGAGCAAAGGACAUGAUGAAUACAGACCCAAUUCACUAGAGUAGGGCUUACAUGAAGCUGGGAAGCUACUGUGAUUCAGUUGACAAUAAUAUGUGUGAGUCAUUCAAUAACUGGAUCAUGGAAUCAAGAUAUCUACCUAUUAUAUCUAUGCUGGAGUGGAUAAGAUGCAAAAUUAUGGUGAAGAUACAAGAAUGCAUUACCAAGUGUUUGAAAUGGUCAGGAAUCAUAUGUCCAAACAUAUUUAAAAAACUGAAGCAGAAUAUAGCAAGAUCCGGAAAUUGUCAUGUGCUCUGGAAUGGAAGAGAUGGGUUUGAGGUGUUAGAGAAUGAUAAAUACAAGUACACUAUGAAUUUGCAAACUAGGGUUUGUUCUUGUAGAUAUUGGUAGCUCUCUGGUCUACCCUGCUGCCAUGCAAUAAGUUGCAUCUACAAGAGCUCACAACUGUUGGAUGCAUACAUAGCUGAGUGUUAUUCCAUUGAGGCUUACAAGAAAAUUUACUCUCAUGUGUUGGAGCCAUUGGAGGGUCAGUCAAAUUGGGCGGUUGCUGAUCAUGUGAGGCCACAAGCACCUGGUUACAUCAAAAUGCCAGGAAGGCCAAGGAAAGAAAGGAAAAGAGAAGAAGGAGAAGCACCAAAAGGGAUAAAAAUGAGCAAGGUGGGUGGCCAAAUCACUUGCAGUUCAUGCAAUAGGACAGGCCAUAACAUGAAAAGUUGCACAAAUAAUGCUGCUGCAACUAAGCAUCAUGGAAAUGCACAUAUUGUCAGAGAAAGGUCUAGGAAAAGGAAACUACAGAAAGAAGUCUAUGAUGCAGAAACUUCAAAGAAAUCAAAGGUUGAAGAAGUUGCAAGGCAGAGCAAGGGAAAGGCUGUAGCUCAAGACCUACAAGUGCAUGAGUGCAGACGACCUAUAGGCAUUCAAAUUAGGGAGACAAAUUCACAACCAAGCUCAUUGCCUGUAUCACAACCAAGCUCGCUGAAAUAUGAUAAGCAUGCUCCAGGCAGCAAGGCUAGAUCAGCAAAGGUUCAGAAAAGUGCUGCUACUCCAUUUGUUCCACCUAAACAAGUUACGAAUUUGCCACAACAUUGUGUCUUCAAUUUAGCUGCAUACAAAGAAGCUAAGAAAGGCAGAGCAGGUCCUCCAGUUUGAUGUCGAGGAGUCAUUUUUGUGUCAAGAGUCAUGUCAUGUAAUAUAUAUCUAUAUGGAGUCGUGUAUUUUCUGUACUAUCAG